CCCCACACCGCAUUCUAAGGUGAUAAACUGGUUGGCUUUUUUCCAUUUUUUACAGACUUCUGGCUUUUGUUUCUGAAGAACUUGUGCGGCCUUCGGGGCCUCGUAGAGAAAAGCCCUUCCUCGGCCCCGGAGACCUGCCGCUGGCGUGUCGCCUACUUCUAGCCUCGUUUGUUCUCGCCGCGGAGUCUUGAUUUUUUUUAUUUGACGACAGCAUUAAUCCAUCGGGGCUGGAGGAUGGGGGGGCGUAAAUAGGCCUCAAAGCACCCCAAAAAACAUUACUACUCCCCGGGCUGGCCCAAACAUCGCGAGAUCUUCCUGCGCGAACAGCGGACGCCCCCUCACCCUCCGGGCGUUUGCUCAUGCGCUUGACUGAUCAUUUUUAGCGCGAAAACAUUUAGAAACGUUUUGGCUGGUAAUAGUCAACCAAAUUUGACCCUCGAGAAAGGUCGGAGGUUAAUUCACGUGGACGCGAUGGAUUGGAGCACACAACACUACAUUCUUCGAGAUUUUGCAGUCACAACUCCACAUGCUUAUACGGUCGUCACUCCUUUCCGUUGCUCUGUUUCGGCCGUGAACUCUGUGAGGAGGUUUCAGCGAAUCGAGUAGUAAAGGCGUGGGCGUGGGAGAGCCGUCCAGGCUUUAAACCAGAGUGGGUAUGUGGGACACCUGCGCAAGCACUGGAGUUUGCCCUGCAGCGCCUGAAAGGUACCACCCACAGUGUCCUCUCCCAGUGGGUCCCUUGGCCCCUCGAAGCAUACCUCAGGCGGAAUGUGGAUUGCAUGGAGUGAAGUGGUGGAAUUGAGCUACCAAGACACUGGCGCGCAACAAAAGUACCGACUUGUCGCCGCUAGCCUCCCAGGUCACUAGGAAGCAGGCUCUGAGCCAAGGGGAAGGCAGAGGACAGAUAUGGAUGUGUUCCCAAGCUUCCCUGGUGGUUUAUGGCAUUCUCCAAACUCCUCUGCAAGGGCUGUUCCUGACCAAGAAGACCCAAGGAGACCGUCUCUGAAAUAAAGUCCGGAUGAAGUUCUGCUAAUAUUUUGCAGACUCAGGGGGAAGGAACACCUGGGAACAGGAACUUGAAUGGGAGACUUUUUGCUGCCCAGCAUUUUCUGGGGCCUUCUACUAGAAACUUCAGGGGACGGAUUAACCACAGCGAUCUAUAGGAACUUUGUAUAAGCAUAUACAUAUUUUCCAUGCAAUUACUAAGCUCUUUGUGCCUUUCAUUUUUUCCCUUUAAGUCAGAUCUUUAAACAGCCACUUUGUCUCCCUAACAAGAUAAACCGUAUUAUCAGAACUGAGAGUUUAUACGACUAGCUAAUUUUGCUACAGGGCUCAUUUUAGAGUUCAGUGUAGGCAUGUAAGAGUCUAGUUUGUUGCUGCACCUCUCCCGACACACCUGCUGCUCUCACGAUUAUGAGAUUCAAAACACGAGUAGCAAUCCUCUCCUUCCGCUUUCUACCAGGAGUACAUACAUGUCAUUUCGAAUUUUACAGAUUCACUUUACAUUUCAGCUCUAGUCUCUAGAUGUUUUUCUAAAUCAGAAAAGAAAGUCAUUUUGUCUUAAGUGAUGCUGCCUGCCUCAGACAAGCAUCUCGUAUGGUACCAUGGCCAGUUCAGGAUGGCCUUGCACUGGCUGAUGCACACGUCAUUAGAGGUUGUGCAAGAAAUGUCACUUUUGCCUCAGUGUCUGGCACCUCUGACAUCACCGUGGACUCUCUGACCCUCUCCUCUGUGCCUCACCCUUUCCCUUUUUUUCACAUGGUUCUUGCCUUGUGCUCUGUUCUUCUUGAUGUUUUGUGUUUUCAGACAGCAAGUCCUGGGAGGCGGUUAUCCUUUCCCUAAACCUGGAGGAUUUUCUCCGGUUUGUUUGGUCUUAGAAAACUUCAGGCCUUCUGCCGUGUUUCGCUUUGAUAGCCUCCUUUGCCACUCAGCACGGAAUGUGUCUGUUGAUCAGCUCUGUUCUGGCUGCUGCAGGUGAGGCUCAAGUAGAGGCCAGCUCCCUUCCUUCUCAUCACAGCUUCCAGACAGGAUCACACCUCCCCUUCCCCUAGCCUCCCGUGUCCCCCGCAGGGUCCCAGAGGUGAGGGGGGAGUGGUCCUGGCUGCACUUGCCCGGUUUCCUGCCCUACAGUUGUGUUUCCUCCUCACUUCCCAUCCCUUCUCUCAUGCGUGCUCCUUUUCUCCCUUGUUUCUACUCCUAAAUCAAGAUGCACUUCUCUCGUCGCCUCUGAAGCAGUGCUUGACACCCUCUCCAGCUCUGCCCUCCUUCCAGCCAAGCGAAGUGCUAAGGUACCCGCACUGCUGUUCUCUUGUUUCCACAGAUGCUAUUGCCAAGCUCAGAAGAGGCAGUUUCUUGUGGGAGUGGAGGCUGGUGAUGGAAUCCCUCAGCGGGGCUGCCUCCCCAGAUUUCCCUCUUUAAUGUCUCCAGCAAACAGGUGGUCACUCUACUGGUAGUAAAUUCCUGGGUAUUUUUACCCAACACCCCAUAAACAAAAUGGCAAUGUUAUUGGACAUGUCAUACAACCAGGCCUAUUGAGUAAUGUCCGCAUUAAUCAAUUUGCCAAAGAAAGCAGGUUGUUAUCUCAGCUUGUUCGGAGAGAGGCUAGCUAUGGGAAGGAAGAAGAACUCAGGCAUCAGGCUUACAAGUACGCGGUCAAGAUUUAAAUGAUACCUAAUCGGUGACUUGGUGCGCCGUGAAGUGAAUCUUUCCCUACGCAAAACUGCACUGGCAGUACAGUUGAUUCUCUCGUAAUUGCUACAGGAACCUCGCUAGAGUGCCUUGGGGAGAGCCUGUUGCCCUGGGACUGAAGUAGCGAGGAGAUAGAACCCAAGAGAGAUGCAAGUUUUACCAGAUUUGUCUCAAUAUUAAGAAAUGUUGUACUACAAAGAAAUCCUUCGGCUGGAGGAUGACUGAUUCACUUUUUGAUCCAUCCGUUCAUUCAUAAAACACCUUGAGCAGCUCCUUCUCCCCAGGCAUUGUGCUGUAUGCUAGACACACCAAGAUUCACGAGGCAGGGUCUCUGCUCUCAGGGAGCUUACACACUGACGGGGGAUUCUCGGGCAUACCUCUCUAAGUAUGCGCAGGAUAGUGUGUAAAGUGUGAUAAUAAAGCUACACAUAAAAUACAGAGGGGAUCUAGGGGAAAUCUUUCCUGAAGGGCUUAUGUCUGUACCAGGUCUCAAGGGAUGAGCACAAGUUUUUCAAGCAGGCAAGAAAAGAAAUGUUUUCAAAGGCAGCCUGGUGUGAAAUUACAAUGGGAAACCACAAAUAAUUUGGUUUGGGUGUAACACAGGCAUCUCAGGAGAUGGGAGGAGCAGCGUCAAGAGCUAAGGCCAAAGACAUACACAGGAGCUAGAUGAUGAAGUGCACUGAAUCCGAGCGGGGACUUACUUUGAAGCUGCUUGGGAGCCGCUGAGAGUUUGAGCCGGAGAGUAACAAUUAAAUCUGGGGGCUUGGCUCCUUCACAUGCAGUCGGCAGCUCCUCAAUAGCUUUCCCUUUAUUUUGUAAUGUUUUAUUAUAUCAUGUCAUGCUUGCAAUACACGUAUGCUAUACAAUGGUAUGGUAUGGGGAUUUACCAUUGUAGUCUAAGGGCCUGGCGUCUGGUAUGCUCUUACUAAUACCUGAUGACUGAUAUAGUUUCUGACACAGUCUCUGACCCUUGCUUAGAUGUUGGUGGUACCAGCAGGUGGUACCGGCCACACCUCUGGGCUCCCUUUCCCUCCAGGCUCUUUCUAUCACCCACAAGCAACAAGUGACAGAAGAAUGGUUGGGAUGUCUCCAUGGGGGUGCAUUGCUGCUGCAUGACAGUGCCCAAUACAUAUUCCAGAAAUUAUCUUAAUCCCUCCAUCACCCAGAAUUUUCAUUCAACCAAUUGUGACAUCUCUGGGAAAGAACAUUUUCAAAAUGUUAGUGAGACGUGGAACUCACUCUGGAGUGAGUUUUCACUUUCAACUUUCUUGAACUAUGUCCCUUUUGCAAGGUGACAGACUAAAAUUUCUCAGUGCCCUUCACUUUCCCCACGCCAUGCCUGUAACAAAUAUCACCAAGGAGAGAUGGAUGGGCAGAUGGAGUGAAUGUUAGACAAAGAGACUGAAUUUAGAAUCUUCCAUUUAUUCAAUAAAAUUGAAAAUACGUUAUUUAAGAGAGGUGGAAAAAAACCCUCAAUGUUGUCUACAGAAACUUUCCUUAAACAGAUAGAAUUUCUCUUUUUGAUUUGUAAAAGUAACAACAACAACAAAAAAGUACAUUUUAUUUCAGAAGUAACAUGUGCCCAUGGUAAAACGUUCCAACAGCAAAGAGGCUCAUAAGGUAAAAAGUAAAACCUCUGACUCACUCUCCAGAGUUAACCACUGUAUAACCUUCCAGAAAUGUUGGACACACUACAAGGAGUAUGGGUAUCGCCCUCUCAUUUUUACACAGAUGGUAUUAAAUUACACACACUGGGGCUACCCUGGUAGUGCAGUGGUUAAGAAUCCGCCUGCCAAUGCAGGGGACACGGGUUCGAGCCCUGGUCCAGGAAGAUCCUGCAUGCUGUGGAGGAGCAGCUAAGCCCCAGCGACGCAACUACUGAGCCUGCACUCUAGAGCCCAUGCGCCACAACUACUGAGCCUGCGCUCUAGAGCCUGCGAGCCACAACUACUGAAGCCCGCAAGCCACAACUACUGAAGCCCGCAGGCCUAGAGCCCGUGCUCCGCAACGAGAAGCCACCGCAGUGAGAUGCCCGCGCACCGCAACAAAGAGUAGGCCCCACUUGCUGCAACUAGAGAAAGCCCACACACAGCAACGAAGACCCAACACAGCCAAAAAUAAAUAUAUAAAAAAUAAAUUAAAAAAUUUUUAAUCUAUUGGCUUUAAGGCAGUGGAAAUACUCUACGUGAUAUUAUAAUGAUGGAUAUAUGUCAUUAUACAUUUUCCAAACUUAUGUAAAGGUGAACCCCAUGGUAAAGUGUGGAUGUUGAGUGAUUAUGAUGUGUCAAUGUAGGUUCACCCCUGGUUAAAAAAAAGAACCGUUCCAAUGAGCAAUGUUGAUAAUGGUGGAGGCUAUGCAUGGGUGGACGCAGGGAUAUAUAGGAAAUCUCUGUACCUCCCUUUCAAGUUAUAAACCUAAAGCUGCUCUAGAAUAACAAAAUCUUUUUAAAAAUAAAAUAAAAGAAUUUUAAAACUAAUAGCACUAAUUUCCCUUCAUCACUCUACUCUCAUUCUUUUUUAAACAACUUUAUUGAAGUAUAGUUGAUUUACAAUGUUGUGUUAAUUUCUUCUGUAUAGCAGAGGGACUCAGUUAUACACAUACGUAUAUAUACAAUCUUUUUCAAAUUCUUUUCCAUUACGGCUUGUCACAGGACAUUGAAUAUAGUUCUCUGUACAGUAGGACCUUGUUGUUUAUCCAUCCUAUAUGUAAUUGUUUGCCUCUGCUAAUCCCAAACUCCCAAUUCUUACCUCCCCUCCCCACCUCCCCCUUGGCAAACACGUCUGUCCUCUAUUAUCUGUGAGUCUGUUUUUGUUUUGUAGAUAUGUUGAUUUGUAUCAUAUUUAUUUAUUUAUUUAUUUUUAAAGAUUUUUUUUUUUGAUACGGACCAUUUUAAAGUCUUUAUUGAACUUGUUAUAACAUUGCUUCUGUUCUAUGUUUUUUGGUUCCUUGGCCACGAGGCAUGUGGGAUCCCAUCUCCCCAACCAGGGAUUGAACCUGUACCCCCUGCAUUGGAAGGCAAAGUCCCAACCACUGCACUGCCAGAGAAGCCCCUGUAUAGUAUUUUAGAUUCCACAUAUAACUGAUAUCAUAUUGUAUUUGUCUUUCUCUUUCUGACUUACUUCGCUUAGUGUGAUAAUCUCUAGGUCCAUCCAUGUUGCUGCAAAUGGCAUUAUUUCAUUAUUUUUGAUGGCUGAGUAAUAUUCCAUUGUAUAUAUAUAUCACAUCUUCUUUAUCCAUUCAUCUGUUGAUGGACAUUUAGUUUGUUUCCAUGUCUUGGCUAUUGUAAAUAGUGCUGCUAUGAACAUAGAGGUGCAUGUAUCUUUUUGGAUUAUAGUUUUGUCUGGGGAUAUGCCCAGGAGUGGGAUUGCUGGAUCAUAUGGCAACUCUACUUUUAGUUUUUUGAAGAACCUCCAUACUGUUUUCCACAGCUGCUGCACCCAUUGACAUUUCCACCGACAGUGUAAGAGGGUUUCUUAUUCUCCACACCCUCUCCAGCAUUUGUUGUCUGAAGACUUCUUAAUGAUGGUCAUUCUGACUGGUGUAAGGUGGUACCUCAUUGUAGUUUAGAUUUGCAUUUCUCUAAUAAUUAGCAACAUCGAGCAUCCUUUCGUGUGCUUUUUGGCCAUCUGUCUUCUUUGGAGAAAUGUCUAUUUAGGUUUCCUGCCCAUUUUUCAAUUGGGCUGUUUUUUCUUUGUUGUUGAGUUGUAUGUGCUGUUUGUGUAUUUUGGAAAUUAAGCCCUUAUCAGUCACAUCAUUGGCAAAUAUUUUCUCCCAUUCUGUAGGUUGUCUUUUUGUUUUGUUUAUGGUUUCCUUUGCUGUGAAAAUGCUUGUAAGUUUGAUUAGGUACCAUUUGUUUAUUUUUGUUUUUAUUUCUAUUGCCUUGGGAGACUGACCUAAGAAAACAUUGGUACGAUUUAUGUCAGAGAAUGUUUUGCCUCUAUUCUCAUUCUUAUAUUUCCAGAUGAUCUAUACUCAACUACCAAUAAAAAAUGUAAUUGUAUGCUCUGUCUGCAUACAGUGACAAUGGCUGGUAAGAUGAUUUAAUGGCUUAAUAGCCACUAUAAUUUUAUUGUUUGCAUUUCCAGCAUUGCAGUAUGAACAACAUUGAUUCAUAUCUAUUUUACUGAUUUGUUCAUAUGUAUUAUAAUUCCUUCUUGUGCCUCCCCCAAGUAAACUUUUGACUAAGGACUA